AAAUAUGUGUGGGGGGGUCAAUGCAACUCAAUGGGUUAUUAAAAGUAACUAGCGUGUCAGGCUCUAUGCUUGAAAUAAAGCCUGCUACUGAGGUCAGUAAAAAGGAUUGAUGCACAUGAUUCGUACGCAAAAUUCCCAUUGGUCAGAAAUAAAUAGCUUCGUUUAUAAGGUAAUGUCAAAUUGUUGUGUAUGUAAUGAUAUUCCGUAUUUGUAAUUGUACUUUAACUACUUUUGGCCAUGUUAAUGACUGCCUUUGCUGCAGUCAAUAACAAUUAUUAUUAUUAUUUAAUAUGUAAUUCCUGGCCAUUCAAUGAAAAUUGGAAUAUUUAGUUUUGAGAUAUUGGUGGAAAAGUUGGCCGUUAUUGUCAUAUUUUAAAUUAGCUUUGAUAAUCUAAUGUAUCAAUUAAUUCCAGCAGUUCCCACCCCUGGGCCUUUGCAGCUUUUCCCAAUCACGGGGGUGGGGCUAUUGCCAAUAUUUUUUAGCCCUGCCCAGGGUGAGGAUUUUGACAUUUUCCAUCAUGGGGGAUUUGGUAGAUUUGCUGGAAAACUGAUAUUUAAUUUGAUUGCAAAUGGCUUGUGGACAUAGCCAUUUUCUUCCCAGAAAUGGCUAAUACCUCGGGGGGAUGGGCACUGCUGGAAUUGACUGAUACAUAAUUAACAAUCGCCAUUUUGAUUGGUUGUUAUUUUUGUGCAUCCCAAUCACUGUCCACUUUUUAUUGACUUCAGUGACAGGCUUACCCUGCGAGCAAAGUCCUCUCGUAUUUCUUCUCAGCACAAGAGAUACUCUGCAGCACUUGUGUAUAUUCUUUGUGGAGCCAACAAUCCAAAAACUUGGAUAAUUAUGAGUAAUUUCAGGUUUGAUACCAGUUUUAUAACCGGUUUUGAUCCGAACCGGAAACUAUUUAUUAAAUCUUCUUCUGGGAAAUAGGCAGUUGCUUAGCAACCUUCGCGCAUGCUGAAAUGAAUUUAUACACAAGUUCUGCAGAGUCUCUCUCGCUUCUCCGUGCUGUGCCGAGAAGAAAUAUGAGAGGACUUUGCUCACAUGGUAUAACAGGCUCUAUUUCAAGCAUCGAGCCUGACAUGCAAGCUACCUUCAAAGGGCCUAUUUGGCAACUUUUGUUGUGGUUACCCAGCCUGAGGCAAAAGUAAUAAAUUAUGAAUUGUUAUAAAUGUUCUGUGAAGUGCACAUAUAUUUCCUGCAGUUAGGGACCAGUCCUUAUUUAUGGAAG